GGAACAGAUAGACAAGGAAAUCCCUGAUUAUGGUGGAGUAGCAUCAUAUGCCCAUGUAAAUUAUCUUGCAUAAGGUAUUCUGUGUGAGGGAAGGAGAGAGAGAGAGAAGAUGAUUGGGGAGCAAAGGAAAGGGAAUGGAAGGGAAAAGAAAGCAAAAUAAGAAUUUAAAUAAUGGCAGGCCUUUCUCCUGCUUCCUUCCUCCAUGAGCACAUGACCAACGUAAGUAUGAGUGUCAUCAGGAACCUACUUUUCCUUCAAUCACUCUCGUUUCUUACUUGCCUUGCAGAGUGUGAACAGCUCACCACCCUAAAUACAGUUUUCCUGCUUAAAGAUAUAUAUUCUUUAAAUCAGAUCUAUCUCGUCUCCAACAAGACUGAAAGCUCCUGAAGAUAAGGAUAAUGGAAAGUAUCUGUAGCUGACAAUUCUCACAGCUAAAUACUCAUUUCAGGAUUUCAAUGACUAUGUACUACCGGUUGAGGAGUCUCAAUGAGAACCCCAAAACUGUAACUCUUGUGGAUUUAUGUUUCAUUAACUUGUUUUCAUCUACUGCUGUGGAUCCAGGUUCAGUAAGAAGAACAAGGACAGAAUAAAUCCUUAUGUAUACUUGCCCUUUGGAACUGGACCCAGAAACUGCAUUGCCAUGAGAUUCGCUAUCAUGAACAUGAAACUUGCUGUUGUCAAGUUGCUGCAGAACUUCUCCUUCAAACCUUGUGAAGAAACACAGAUCCCCCUGAAAUUAUGCAAUCAAGGGCUAAUGGAACCACAAAAACCCAUUGUUCUAAAGGUUGAAUUCAGAGACAGAACCGUGAGUGGCCCCUGAUUUUCCUAAGGACUUCCAUUUUGUUCUUCAAGGAAGCUGUGUCCCAGAACACCAGAGACCUCAAUUUACUUUGUGAAUAAACCCCAGUAUAAAGAUGGGCUUACUACUGCCCUUGAUGGAUGCCUGGGUAUCCUUACACUCAUUGAGCUUCCUCGGUGUCUAAGUAGAGUGUUAUUUGUUGUGUGAUAUAAAUGAAGAGGCUGAGUAAUUGCCAUAUAUGUGAACUCACCUUAUCUGGUUCUCACAGGAUGAUCUACACCCAGCCCUAGUUAGUACCACAUACUUUCCCUGAGCACUGAUCAGGAAUAAAAGUUUCUCCACUAUUUUAACAAACUUUAAUGAAAAUGAGAAUUAUUGUGCUAACUGCAGUAGAGACAUUUAUGUGUUCGUUUUGUAUCCUCUAUAAACUAUUAUACUGAGCAUGUCAUUAAACAUCUCUUCACAAAAGUAUUAUUUGAUGGCUUCAUGUACGUUAGGGGGAAUCUAUAGAAGUGAAUCAGUGAGAGCCAGUGACUUAAAAGUUUUUCACCAUCACAAUCACAGGUUGGGUUGGAAUAUUUCAGAGCUCCCAGUAGAUAUAUUAAGAUAGCUGAAAGUUAAUCCACUGUGAGUUUGAGUGUUGCUUAAAAAGUAUAUUCAUAUUUUACUUGUUCCUUUUGGGGAACAAAUAUUUUUGUACCACUCAGCUGAGCAUUUAGUAUUAUAUUAUUAGCUUUGAUUCAAUGUUUUCAUCUUAUCUCCCUGAUAUUUCUGAAAGGCACAAAACAUGUUUUCUUAUAAUUCUUUCUACUCUAUUUUCAACUCCCAACUGUGUUAACACAAUGGAAAUCAAGUAAAAAGUGAUUGAUAGAUCAAUUGAUUGGAGAGAAAGGCUAAAAUUAUUCACCAGAUUCAGUUGCUGUCAGAAGAUGCACACGUUCUUCCUUUUCAUUUUCUGCCCCUUCUCUCCACUUCCCUUUCCUCUUCUUCACUUCCCUCCUU
ensembl:lncRNA